rnacentral:ncRNA from 2 species
AAGCAUGAAGAAGACGUCUCGGAUCGUGGGAAGCCGGGUGAGAAUCCCGCACGGUACCGCCACUGUGUUUCGGCCUUGCCGAUCAGCCAGAAUACCGACCGAGAAGCGUGUGUGCGCAAGCGGCGAGUUACCGCGAACGCAACCC